rnacentral:misc_RNA from 1 species
AAGAUGAAGGCCAUGAAGGGCUUCUUCGAGGAAGGCAACAAGGUGAAGAUCACCCUGCGCUUCCGCGGACGCGAAAUGGCGCACCAGUCCCUCGGUCUGAAGGUUCUCGACCGGGUGAAGGCCGAUGUGGGCGAUAUCGCCAAGGUCGAGAUGGAGCCGAACUUCGAGGGCCGUCAGGUCGUCAUGGUGCUGGCGCCCCGCUAAAGGACUCCGCCUCAAGCAAGAUUCAUGGCCGUCGGGGUUCCGGCGGCCAUUGCUUUUUGAAGGACCUUCUGCCAUA